rnacentral:rRNA from 1 species
GACGUAGGGCGCGAGCGUGUCCGGAUUUAUUGGGCGUAAAGAGCUCGUAGGCGGCUUGUCGCGUCGAAUGUGAAAACUCGGGGCUCAACUCCGAGCUUGCAUUCGAUACGGGCAGGCUAGAGUUCGGUAGGGGAGACUGGAAUUCCUGGUGUAGCGGUGAAAUGCGCAGAUAUCAGGAGAACACCCGUGGCGAAGGCGGUCUC